CAUUGCAUAACAGCAACCUCUGUAGAAGGCAUCUAUGAAAAACAUUUGUGUUGCAUAAGUGCAAAACAUGUUGAUUUUACAAGAUUUAUAGAUGACACAAUGAAAUAAAAUAGUGUCAGACAAGAGCUCCUGUUCUCCAGAAGCUUCGCAGGGCUAUUCCAGCGUGACAAUGAUCCAAAGUGUGGUCUGCAGAUAAAAUCAGACGUUGGUUUCUAGAGAAGAAAAAGUGAAACUCUGACCUGGACUAGUGUGUCACCUGCCUCGACUGCAACAGAACACCUCUCCAAAGAAAUUUAUGCAACGCUGGUCUCUCGUGUCAAGUAGGAUUGACUCUGUUGUGUAAAAGAAAGCUGGGCAUCUGAAAUAAGAGAGGAGAUGCUUGGUGAACCAUGUGCAACACUGUGCCCUGACUUCUGCUUUACCACAUGCUCAACCUGCCUGAUGAUGACGCUCCCAGCUUUAAACCCUCCAUAUUAUCUACCUACUGAGGGAGAAACGCAGGAUAAAUAUGCUGUCUGCAAUGAGUAUCACCGUGAAGGGAUCUCCUCACUCAGGACAAAGCUGCAGAAAGGCCACUGCAAUCUAAAACCUCUUCCUGCUUCACCCGGCAUCACCGGCAGGUAGUUGGUGCUGUCUCAGAGAGUCAUUUUACAAGCGCCGCUCAAUACACCUCUCUUUGCAUUCGUCUUGAAGAGGCCUUUCCAUUUUUCAAACUGGCAUCCACAUAAAGGCAACUUUCACCCAGCCCUCUGCAAAAGGCCAAAAACCAUACGGGUCACGGUUUAUACUUUAACUGUAUUGCAUGUUGCAACAUAAGCAUGUUGUGCAAAAGAAAGAGGAGCGUUGUGGCGAAAUAGGUCAGGGGUUUCUUUACUUUGUAACACUACACUUGAUGUAAAGGGGGUUGCCGCACAUCUAUGAGUCUCUGUGUGUACGUGUGUGGGGUUGUGCUUGUUUUCCUCUCCAUGUGACCCAUUUGCUGAUCGACCACAGUGUUCCCCACUCUGGUGGUGUUUCCAUGCCAACGCCGCCAGUGGCAAGACAAAAGAUGAGGACUCACUUGGUCUUGAUCAAAGGGAGCACUGUUUCAGUCUGUUGCUCGUGCUGUCUAGUAUGUUCUGAAACUGACUGCAUACCUAGAGAUGUAAAAAAGGAUAUAUCACAGAACAGUGAUUUCCAUUCUUUUUCAUCAGCUUCCCACCUAGAGCGCUGUCAGCUGAUCUACAGCACCACUACUUCAGCACCUCCACUAAUGCUCCACAUUUAUUAUAAUUGAAUGUUAUUUUUACCCCAUUAUUUUGAAUUUUUUUCAAUACUUUUUUUUUAAAUGACAUGCACCACUUGGCAAUUCAGUUCAGCCACACAUUAAAUGCUAAAAGCUAGAUGUUUCGGCUAUCUACUGUGCAGUAUUUUAGUGUUUGUCCAUUGUGCAAACACUGAAAAGUUCAAAAUAUUCAACAAAACACAUUCAGCUAUUUAUUCUUACUUUUAGCUUGCAUAAAAUGCUUGUAUGUAUCAGUGUAGUUCAACAAUGUUUCGUGUUUUUCAACUAUUUCUUAAUUAUCACUCCGUUUAGAAACCCAUCACAGUUAUGAGCUGUCAAGUUCACAUUUAUUCAAAAUAAAUGGAAAAAACACA